rnacentral:lncRNA from 1 species
AAUCUAAACUUACUGUUGAUUUGAUCCUUGCAAUAAAACUGAGUUCUAACCAAUCCUUGUUUUCCAAAGGCCUUUUUGGCUUUAUGUUUUAUUUGUUGGGGUUAUGAAGCAGCUGCCUCUUCUAAACCUACAAAUCCCUGAAUUUCAUAAAUACUUCUAUAUCCUUUUAUUUAUUUAUUAAUUUUGCCCCAUGACCAAUUGAUUUUAGAGUUCAUCUCUUUUAUGUGAUAGCUCAUUACAAACAUUUUUUUUUUCUGACUUAUUUUUUCUGUUGCUACAAUAACAUCUUUACUAAAUGUUUGACACUGAAUAACUUGGACAAUCAUCUCUCCAGCCUUUGGCAUCAGUUUUCUUAUCAGCUGCCUCCUGGUCACUAGCAAAAUGUGACCGAUAUUCAAUGAUGGUGGGUUUUGUGUUUUUGUUUUUUACUUGAUUGGUUAGUUAUUAUUUUGUAGCUGUCAUACAGAACUUACUUCUAGAGACUGUUUUUGUAGCUGUCAGGGUAGGCUAGAUUAUGCCUUCAUAACUAACAACCUCCAUGAUUUCAGAAACUUGCAACAAUAUAGAUUUAUUUUCUAUGAAUGCUAUAUGUUUGCCAUGGGUCAGCUGUGAGUUCUGUUCCACAUUCCUCAUUCCUGGAUCCAGGUUAAUGAAGCAGCCUCCUUCCCAAACAUUGUCAUUUGCCUCACCUCCCAUGACUCGGCAUCAGCCUCACUCUCAGCUGGCUUUAUUUUUCAAAACUGCAUAAUGUCUUCCUACACUACCAGAAACCUGUUUGGGGGAAAACAAACAUCUUUAGCUUGCUAGUUUCAUUGCAGGUCAUACAGCUUUUUCCACUGUUGGCCACUGAGACCCUCCUGGGUUCCCAAGGCCCCAGUUUGCCUACACCAUUAUCUAAAAGGCUUCUCUAGGCAUCUGCAUCCAGGUGUGCCUGCUGCACCUUUGUGACAUGGGCUGAUAACAAUGGCAUCUCAACAGUUAGUCUUCUUUUAGUGAGGGUCCAGAAGUACCUCAGGGAUUCAUGCUGCCUCACAAAAGUUAGCAACAUGAGACCAGAUGGGCUAGAAAACCAAAAGCAAAGUGCUUCCAUAGGAAAAUUGUAAGGGGCAGGUUUAGAAAAGAACUGCAAAAAAUGUUGUAAAUCUCUCUCUCUCUUUCUUCAUGCCCCUCACCACAGCCUACAUCAUUUCUUUCUUUAAAAUCUAUCUAAGUCACCAAGGAUGGAUCAGAAUACUAAGGAUGCCAAGGAUGGAUCAGAAUACCAGUUAAAUUUUUUGGAAUUCUUUUCUUACAGCAAGAGGUAAACUGAUUAAAAAUCUUAACAUGGAUCUUCCCUACAUUUCUUCUGGGCCUCUGUACCCAUCAAUUUAUGCAAACUCC